CUGGCGUGAAGCCUUGUCUGUGCCAGAAACUUUGUUCGAAGCCUCCUACGUGUGCGGGGGAGUUUCCAAGACGUCUGGUUGAAAGCAGUGAAAGGAAGAAGAGAGGGAUGGUUUUUAUCCAUGCUUAAUUCUCUGUGUAUUGCUGGGGUAGUGUUGGCACGCAAUAAGGAAUUCCCAUGGAGAUUUUCAGGAAUUGAUGGUCAAGGUCAUGUGGACCAGAAGCUCCUUUCUCUCAGGAGAGUCAUCUUCCAGGGAAUUUUACCAAGGGAUAUAUCAACAUGAUCCUUUUUUUGUGUUAACCAUGAUGUAAUACAUUCUUCAAAUCUGGAAACUCAAUUUUGCCUAUGGAUCAG